rnacentral:rRNA from 1 species
UACCAGCUCUCCGAGUGGUGUGGAUGUUUAUUGGGCCUAAAGCAUCCGUAGCUGGCUGGACAAGUCCCCUGUUAAAUCCACCGAUUUAAUCGUUGGAGUGCGGGGGAUACUGUUCGGCUAGGGGACGGGAGAGGCAGACGGUAUUUUCGGGGUAGGGGUGAAAUCCUAUAAUCCCGGGAAGACCACCAGUGGCGAAGGCUGUCUGCUAGAACGCGCCCGACGGUGAGGGAUGAAAGCUGGGGGAGCGAACCGGAUUAGAUACCCGGGUAGUCCCAGCUGUAAACGAUGCAGGCUAGGUGUUUGGGCGGCCACGUGCCGCUCUAGUACCGCAGGGAAGCCGUUAAGCCUGCCGCCUGGGGAGUACGGCCGCAAGGCUGAAACUUAAAGGAAUUGGCGGGGAGCACCACAAGGGGUGAAGCUUGCGGUUU